rnacentral:ncRNA from 4 species
UACGGAGGAUCCGAGCGUUAUCCGGAUUUAUUGGGUUUAAAGGGUGCGUAGGCGGCCUAUUAAGUCAGGGGUGAAAUACGGUGGCUCAACCAUCGCAGUGCCUUUGAUACUGAUGGGCUUGAAUCCAUUUGAAGUGGGCGGAAUAAGACAAGUAGCGGUGAAAUGCAUAGAUAUGUCUUAGAACUCCGAUUGCGAAGGCAGCUCACUAAGCUGGUAUUGACGCUGAUGCACGAAAGCGUGGGGAUCGAACAGG